rnacentral:tRNA from 1 species
GGAGGGUAUAGCUCAGUGGUAGAGCACAUGCUUAACAUGCAUGAGGUCUUGGGUUCAAUCCUCAGUACCUCCA